AGAGUUUGAUCAUGGCUCAGGAUGAACGCUAGCGGCAGGCCUAAUACAUGCAAGUCGGACGGGAUUGGAGAGCUUGCUUUCCAUGAGAGUGGCGCACGGGUGCGUAACACGUAUGUAACCUACCCAUAUCAGGGGGGAUAGCCUCUCGAAAGAGAGAUUAAGCCCGCAUAACAUUAUGAUAUAGCAUUAUAUUAUAAUCAAAUAUUUAUAGGAUAUGGAUGGGCAUGCGGAACAUUAGCUAGUUGGCGGGGUAACGGCCCACCAAGGCGACGAUGUUCAGGGGAUCUGAGAGGAUGACCCCCCACACUGGUACUGAGACACGGACCAGACUCCUACGGGAGGCAGCAGUAAGGAAUAUUGGUCAAUGGGCGGAAGCCUGAACCAGCCAUGCCGCGUGCAGGAAGACGGCCCUACGGGUUGUAAACUGCUUUUGCAGGGGAAUAAACCCCCGUAUGUAUACGGGGUUGAAUGUACUCUGAGAAUAAGGAUCGGCUAACUCCGUGCCAGCAGCCGCGGUAAUACGGAGGAUCCGAGCGUUAUCCGGAUUUAUUGGGUUUAAAGGGUGCGUAGGCGGCCUAUUAAGUCAGGGGUGAAAGACGGUAGCUUAACUAUCGCAGUGCCUUUGAUACUGAUGGGCUUGAAUGUAGUUGAGGUAGGCGGAAUGUGACAAGUAGCGGUGAAAUGCAUAGAUAUGUCACAGAACACCAAUUGCGAAGGCAGCUUACUAAAGUAUGAUUGACGCUGAGGCACGAAAGCGUGGGGAUCAAACAGGAUUAGAUACCCUAGUAGUCC
rnacentral:rRNA from 1 species